rnacentral:rRNA from 1 species
GACGAACGCUGGCGGCGUGCUUAACACAUGCAAGUCGAACGGAAAGGCCCUGCUUUUGUGGGGUGCUCGAGUGGCGAACGGGUGAGUAACACGUGAGUAACCUGCCCUUGACUUUGGGAUAACUUCAGGAAACUGGGGCUAAUACCGGAUAGGAGCUCCUGCUGCAUGGUGGGGGUUGGAAAGUUUCGGCGGCUGGGGAUGGACUCGCGGCUUAUCAGCUUGUUGGUGUGGUAGUGGCUUACCAAGGCUUUGACGGGUAGCCGGCCUGAGAGGGUGACCGGCCACAUUGGGACUGAGAUACGGCCCAGACUCCUACGGGAGGCAGCAGUGGGGAAUAUUGCACAAUGGGCGGAAGCCUGAUGCAGCAACGCCGCGUGCGGGAUGACGGCCUUCGGGUUGUAAACCGCUUUCGCCUGUGACGAAGCGUGAGUGACGGUAAUGGGUAAAGAAGCACCGGCUAACUACGUG